UGCGUAGGCGGCCAUUUAAGUCAGGGGUGAAAUAUGUCGGCUUAACCGGCAAACGGCCUCUGAAACUGAAUGGCUUGAGUCCGGGAGAGGAAGGUGGAAUUCCUGGUGUAGCGGUGAAAUGCGUAAAUAUCAGGAGGAACACCGGUGGCGAAGGCGGCCUUCUGGCCCGGUACUGACGCUGAGGCACGAAAGCCAGGGGAGCGAACG
rnacentral:rRNA from 1 species